rnacentral:lncRNA from 1 species
CGAGGAUGAUCGGACAGGACGGUCCGGCCUUGGUCGCCCACGUGGGCUUGGCCAGCGAGCCAGCUGGGCCCAGCAUCGGACAGCAGGUGACACUCCAGGUCGCCCGCCAGGUUGGCGAGCGGCGGGCACCCAGGAGGCCCCAAGGACCCGCCCCGCUCCGGGAGAAGGCGGACGAGGCCCUGGGCUUAGACUUCUGGGCUGCUCCCGUACACAGCGGGUGCUCACUAAGUGCAGGUCGCCAAGGACCGCGGGCCGUGUCUCCCCUCAUCAGAAAACAACCAGGCACUUUCCGACCUCAGGGCCUCUGCUCAGUGGCUCCUCCGCUGGAUCACUGCCCCCGGAUUCUUGCCUCGGCCUCGGACCGCACCUCCUCCGUCUGGUUCAGGCUUCAUGAUUGCUUUAUUAGAAAGUUCUUUGCUUGCUGGGUGUGGUGCACGCCUGUGAUCCCAGCACUCUGGGAGGCUGAGGCAGGAGGAUCACAAGUUCAAGCCCAUCCUGGGCAAUUUAGCAACUUAGCAAGACCCUGUCUCAAAAUUAGAUAAAGGGCUGGGGAUGCAGCUCAGUGUGAGCCCUGGGUUCAAUCCCAGUACCGCAAAAAAACAAAAAUUUUGGCCGGGGAUGGAGCUCAGUGGUUUCACCGCCUGCUGCGCAAGCGCAAGGACCCGAGUUCGAUCCCCGGUACCAAAAAAAUAAAAAUAAAAUAAAAUAAAAAAUUUUUAUUUCUCUUUUGAAAACUGCUCACCGUCCAGUGCCCUCCUCCCUUGUCUUCCCUGACCCUGCUAGGGCCAUCAGGUCCACCGGGUCUGUGUCCAGAGCGCCCCCCACGUCCCCAUCCCAGCAGAGGUCCCAGCUGGUACCAAGCAGCCUCUUCCCAGGGGUCUGUUCCGCCCAGGGGACAGCACGGCGGCCACGGGUGCCAGCCCACAGUGCCAAUGGGGCAGAGCCAGGGGACGGUGUGCCCGACCUGGCCGCUGGAGAGAGGGGUCUGGGGAGGCGCAUGGGGCGGGAGCCCAGGCUCCAGCUCCCCACGCAGGCCAGCCCGCUCGCCUGUGGUCCGGGGCGCAGGGCUAUGAGAAGGGGACUCCAGGGACGGCUGUGUGCGCGGCCAGAGCAGGGGAGACGGGGCCAGGCUCAGCUCAGCCACACCCGCCCUCACAGGCCCGGGUCCUGGCAGGCGCCCUCCCCCAGCCUGGUGGGCCUGCCGCUGUUCAGCACAGGGCGCUGCGGUGUCAGAGACGGCCUUUCUGGUG